UGGGGAAUUUUGGACAAUGGGCGAAAGCCUGAUCCAGCAAUGCCGCGUGUGUGAAGAAGGCCUUCGGGUUGUAAAGCACUUUUGUCCGGAAAGAAAUCCUUGGCUCUAAUACAGUCGGGGGAUGACGGUACCGGAAGAAUAAGCACCGGCUAACUACGUGCCAGCAGCCGCGGUAAUACGUAGGGUGCAAGCGUUAAUCGGAAUUACUGGGCGUAAAGCGUGCGCAGGCGGUUUGCUAAGACCGAUGUGAAAUCCCCGGGCUCAACCUGGGAACUGCAUUGGUGACUGGCAGGCUAGAGUAUGGCAGAGGGGGGUAGAAUUCCACGUNUAGCAGUGAAAUGCGUAGAGAUGUGGAGGAAUACCGAUGGCGAAGGCAGCCCCCUGGGCCAAUACUGACGCUCAUGCACGAAAGCGUGGGGAGCAAACAGGAUUAGAUACCCUGGUAGUCCACGCCCUAAACGAUGUCAACUAGUUGUUGGGGAUUCAUUUCCUUAGUAACGUAGCUAACGCGUGAAGUUGACCGCCUGGGGAGUACGGUCGCAAGAUUAAAACUCAAAUGAAUUGAGC
rnacentral:rRNA from 1 species